rnacentral:rRNA from 1 species
AACGUAGGGGGCGAGCGUUGCCCGGAUUCACUGGGCGUAAAGCGGGUGUAGGCGGUUCCUUAAGUCGGAUGUGAAAUCCUACGGCUCAACCGUGGAACUGCAUCCGAUACUGGGGAACUUGAGGACGGUAGAGGUCGGUGGAAUUCCAGGUGUACCGGUGAAAUGGGCAGAUAUCUGGAGGAACACCAGUGGCGAAGGCGGCCGACUGGGCCGAUCCUGACGCUGAGACCCGAAAGCCAGGGUAGCGAACCGG